rnacentral:rRNA from 1 species
AUGCCGCCUACAUACAAACCGCGACGCCCAUCUCCAUCUCCAUCUCCAUCUCCAUCGCCAUCGCCAUCGCCAUCGAUUGUUUCCUUGACGACGGCAUCGAGAGAGCGCGCGGCAAUGGCGAUCUCCUCGGCCCCGGUGGCGCCGCGGCGCCGCAGGUCGGCGGUGCUCCUGAUGGUGAACUACGCGGCGCUGCUGGUCGGGUCGGUGGCCUCGAGCCUGCUGUCCCGGUUCUACUUCGAGCACGGCGGGCAGAACAAGUGGGUGGUCACGCUGGUGCAGUCGGCGGGGUUCCCCACGCUGGUGGUCGCGGUGUUCCUCGCCGGCCGCCCCGCCUCCGUGCCGCGGCCGUUUCUUUGGUUCUCGCGGCGGUUCCUGGCCGUGUGCCUCGUCAUCGGCGGUCUCAUGGGCGUCAACAACCUUCUCUUCUCCUACAGCUCCUCGCUCCUGCCCGUGUCCACCUCGUCGCUGCUGCUCUCCACGCAGCUUGCCUUCACGCUCGUCCUCGCCGUCGCCAUCGUCCGUCACCCGCUCACCUUCGUCAAUCUCAACGCCGUCGUGCUCAUGACGCUCUGCUCCGUGCUCCUCGCCCUCCGGUCAGGCGACGCCGGCGAGAGCCCGGACAGGAAGGGGUACAUCAUCGGCUUCGUCGUCACGCUCGGUGCCGCAGGGCUCUUCUCUGCAUACCUGCCGGUGAUGGAGCUGUUGUAUAGGGAGGUGGUCUCCGGCGGGUUCAUCCUGGCGGUGGAGGUGCAGGCAGUGAUGCAGGCCAUGGCGUCCGUCGUGGCAGCGAUCGGGCUCGCGGCGACCGGCGGCUUCGCCAACGACGUGGCCCCCUGGAAGGGGUCCCACGCCGUUUACUGGGUCGUGGUGGCAACGUUGGUCGUGACAUGGCAGGCGUGCUUCAUGGGCACCGCCGGCGUGAUCUACUUGACGUCGUCGCUCCACAGCGGCGUGUGCAUGGCGGCGGUGCUCACGGCCAAUGUCAUUGGCGGCGUCGUCGUGUUCGGCGACCCGUUUGGCGCCGAGAAGGCCGUCGCCACCGCGCUCUGCGUCUGGGGCCUGUCCUCCUACCUCUACGGCGAGUACACCAAGAGCAAGAAGAAAGCCGCCGAUGAUCAGGACGAGGACAGAAUCCUCUCCGCCGCCCGUGACGACGGCGAGAGCGUGCACAAGAGCCUCACGGCCGCCGUUCUCGAGGCCGUCGAAACCGUUUGA